GGGCCCACGUCCCAGUCCUCUCCUUCCUCUCACAGUUCAUGUAGCCCCUACAUCCUCCCCUGAUUGUCCAGCCUCCACACGCGAAGCCACCGAGGCAGGAAUCGGAAGUGCCAGUCUGUGCAUCGUGUUCUCACGCCAACCCCAAGUAUUCAAAAUUAGGCAAUUCAAGUGAUACAUAUAUUGUUUGGAAUUUCGUUGCUAGGCCAUGAUCGGUUCAAUUUAUC